rnacentral:pre_miRNA from 1 species
CAACUACUCCCUCUGUCCCAAAUUUCUUGUCUUAGAUUUGUCUAGAUACGGGUGUAUCUAAUACUAAAAUGUGACUUGAUACAUCCGUAUCUAGACAAAUCUAAGACAAGAAUUUUGGGAUGGAGGGAGUAAUUU